AGAGUUUGAUCMUGGCUCAGAUUGAACGCUGGCGGCAGGCUUAACACAUGCAAGUCGAGCGGAUGARAGUAGCUUGCUACCGGAUUCAGCGGCGGACGGGUGAGUAAUGCUUAGGAAUCUGCCUAUUAGUGGGGGACAACAUCUCGAAAGGGAUGCUAAUACCGCAUACGUCCUACGGGAGAAAGCAGGGGAUCUUCGGACCUUGCGCUAAUAGAUGAGCCUAAGUCGGAUUAGCUAGUUGGUGGGGUAAAGGCCUACCAAGGCGACGAUCUGUAGCGGGUCUGAGAGGAUGAUCCGCCACACUGGGACUGAGACACGGCCCAGACUCCUACGGGAGGCAGCAGUGGGGAAUAUUGGACAAUGGGGGGAACCCUGAUCCAGCCAUGCCGCGUGUGUGAAGAAGGCCUUUUGGUUGUAAAGCACUUUAAGCGAGGAGGAGGAGCUCUUGGUUAAUACCCAAGAUGCUUGGACGUUACUCGCAGAAUAAGCACCGGCUAACUCUGUGCCAGCAGCCGCGGUAAUACAGAGGGUGCAAGCGUUAAUCGGAUUUACUGGGCGUAAAGCGCGCGUAGGUGGCCAAUUAAGUCAAAUGUGAAAUCCCCGAGCUUAACUUGGGAAUUGCAUUCGAUACUGGUUGGCUAGAGUAUGGGAGAGGAUGGUAGAAUUCCAGGUGUAGCGGUGAAAUGCGUAGAGAUCUGGAGGAAUACCGAUGGCGAAGGCAGCCAUCUGGCCUAAUACUGACRCUGAGGUGCGAAAGCAUGGGGAGCAAACAGGAUUAGAUACCCUGGUAGUCCAGGGCGAUUCGUUAACCUGCAGACUAGUCCUUU
rnacentral:rRNA from 1 species